CCUCUGGAAACACUAGAAAGGGAAGAAUCAGCUUUGUCCCCAUUUGUAGCUUUUGUUUUCCUGUUAAUUACUGUCUCCGGCCGCUUACUGCUUUUGUCUGCUAACCUAGGACUAGUCCUGGAAGCUUCUAGCUUCUACACAAUCUAAUCUAGGCUGAGAGACUUCUCUCUGCACAAACUGAUUCAAUCUGCUCGCUCUCUCUCUCUCUCUCUCUCUCUCUCUCUCUCUCUCUCUCUUUCUCUCUCCCUCCCCCCCCCUCUCCCCUCCCCCCCAUAUCGGCUUCUCAAUUGCUCUGCUCUACCUCCGGCUCGUUCUGUCCUCACCUGUGUCUAGCUUGUUCUCUCUCUGCAGCUGUCUCUGUACAGCUGCCCCAGUAAAACUGUUUCUCUUUCUCCACACUGCCCUUUCUUCUUUUAGGUUGAUGCCAUUACGCAGGUGAAGGCGGACACAAGAUAACACAAGGCCUGUCACUGGACAAGAAGGGAGGGAGUCGGGAACAGAAGGAGAGGGAGAAGUAGAAGAGAGAAGAAGCGACCUGGAGGCAGACGUAAACGAUCCUCAUCAUGCGUCCCUGCAUAGAUACAGGAUGUCUUCAGCUGUGUGGUUAUCAAGUAGUUGCAAAAGGCAAGCUGUCAGCCCAGCCUCAGAAACCUGGAUGGUCAAAUCACAAGACUUCGUUUUGACCGCGUGGGAGACAAACACCUCGGCUCACUAUGGCAACCUCUGAGCCUCUUCAGCGUUCAGUACAGUGCGGUGUGAGGUCCAGCGUCUUACUCCUGACCCGACGUUCUGAACUCUUUGGCUCUGAGAGGGCUGCUGUGAAACCCUUUGGAAAGGACUCAAGGAUCCAGGCUCUGGCACUUGCCUAAGCUCACAUCCUAUGGGUCCCAGACUCAGGGACACUCACUACCUGGAAGUCAUCGCAGCUCGCUCCAGCCACCUCAGCAGACUGCCCACCGCAGGUCGGGACGCGAGCCGGAAUGAACUGCGAGUCCCAGGGGCCGCGCCCGCCUACAUCUCACAGCCUCCGCCCCGGCGCUAGACCUUGCCUCGCGUCCAGUCUGUGCUCCAGUGUUUUUGUCUUUAUUUGAGUUAGUCCAUUGUGACUGUGCGGUGCCAGGAGCCUACGCCCCGGGUACUACAUGGUUCCUUCAGUGACCACUGCUCCAGCUUUUCCUUCUAGACGAGUUACCAUCAGGUCCUAACGCUUAAUUUAUUUGUAGAAACUAUAACAGUCCCAACGACAGUUCUGAGGCUUGCUUUUCAGAUGAGGAAAAUCUAGGCAAGUUGGGGAUAAUCAAACACUAAGCAGCGUAACCCCAUCUCAACCCACUUUGGUGCACUUUUUUGUCUCUUGGGCUCUGCUUAACCCCCGCCCCAGGUCAGCCCACUAUAUUUUUUUGGUGGGCAGAUCUUUCCGGAGGGAGAUAGAGUGGCUUCAGAGUUUAACCCAAACUUCAGGAUGAACUGGCGCUAGAUGAAGCAGGAGAAAGUAUGAUCCGGUGCCAGGGCUUUCCCCAUCCCGGGCAAAUGGCGUUACGCUCCAUCUAUUCUCGCUCCAGCGCGGUCCUCCCGGGCUUCAAGGCGGGUCCUACCACAGCCUGGGUAACCUGGGCACUCACUGCCAGAGUUCCGCAACCCGGCCCCUGUGCUUCUUUUCAAAUUGGCUCUCUUUCUCUGCCUGCACGAGUCCUCAAGCUUUUCUGUGCACCCUAGAGAGAAACACAGUUUCGGAGCCCAUUCCUAGAUUUCCCUGUUCUCUCCGCCCCUGCUUGCCCUUCUUUAACAGCUCAAAUUUCAGUUCCCUCUAAUUCAGCCUUUGACCUUACUUUUCCCCCAACAUCCACCGCAAAUUGUCCAAGAAAAUAAGGCUACAUCCAUAGGCCAGUCCCUCUUACAAGGACCUAUCUGACCGCAUGAUGCCUUUUUGCUGGGACGUGGGAAGAAAGCGAUUUUCACACGAAGCUGUUCCUUCCGCAUUUGCUUUUGUGAAACCUUCGAAAGGUGUUGGGGGUGGUUUUCCGGGGGGGGGGCGGCUCUUCUCUAAUGGGAUUGUACUGUUUGUUCUGAUCCUGCCAAAUUGCGUGCAUAAGGUUAGCUCCAGGUAGACAGAGGAUCGCGUCCAAUCGUCUGAUUACACACUUUAUACCUUGCUGUGUCCCCAAAAGAAAGUACGGUUAGAAACAAGUAAUCGGGGGUUGGGGAUUUAGCUCAGCGGUAGAGCGCUUGCCUAGCAAGCACAAGGCCCUGGGUUCGGUCCCCAGCUCCGAAAACAAGUAAUCCUCACCGAGGCAGGAGGAUCAGAAUUCAAGGUCACCCUUAGUUACAUUCGAGUUAGAUGAAUUUACAAACCCACAGAAUGGUUAUCUUUGCCAGUUGUACACCUGACUGGAUUACCAUAGAAUAUAUAAGUAGCUAAAAAAGAAAGAAUAAACCUAUUUUUUCCAACUCCA